GGAACAGGUGGGAUUUUUAGGGAGGACCCGUUUAACGGCCUUCUAAGCCGUUGGUUGGGGGUUCGAGUCCUCCCGGGGGCACCA
rnacentral:tRNA from 1 species